UACGUAGGUGGCGAGCGUUAUCCGGAAUUACUGGGUGUAAAGGGCGCGUAGGCGGGUAUACAAGUUGGAUGUGAAAUUCCGGGGCUUAACUCCGGAUUGACAUCUAAAACUGUGUAUCUUGAGUGUCAGAGGGGAAAGUGGAAUUCCUAGUGGAGUGGUAAAAUGCGUAGAUAUUAGGAGGAACAUCGGUGGCGAAGGCGACUUACUGGGCCGUAACUGACGCUGAGGCGCGAAAGCGUGGGGAGCGAACAGGAUUAGAUACCCUGGUAGUCCCUGAGCGGG
rnacentral:rRNA from 1 species